rnacentral:rRNA from 1 species
GACGAACGCUGCGGCGUGCCUAAUACAUGCAAGUAGAACGCACAGUUUAUACCGUAGCUUGCUACACCAUAGACUGUGAGUUGCGAACGGGUGAGUAACGCGUAGGUAACCUGCCUGGUAGCGGGGGAUAACUAUUGGAAACGAUAGCUAAUACCGCAUAAUAUUAAUUAUUGCAUGAUAAUUAAUUGAAAGGUGCAAUUGCACCACUACCAGAUGGACCUGCGUUGUAUUAGCUAGUAGGUGAGGUAACGGCUCACCUAGGCGACGAUACAUAGCCGACCUGAGAGGGUGAUCGGCCACACUGGGACUGAGACACGGCCCAGACUCCUACGGGAGGCAGCAGUAGGGAAUCUUCGGCAAUGGACGAAAGUCUGACCGAGCAACGCCGCGUGAGUGAAGAAGGUUUUCGGAUCGUAAAGCUCUGUUGUAAGAGAAGAACGGGUGUGAGAGUGGAAAGUUCACACUGUGACGGUAUCUUACCAGAAAGGGACGGCUAACUACGUG